rnacentral:rRNA from 1 species
ACGCUGGCGGCGUGCUUAACACAUGCAAGUCGAACGGAAAGGCCCUGCUUGCAGGGUACUCGAGUGGCGAACGGGUGAGUAACACGUGGGUGAUCUGCCCUGCACUUCGGGAUAAGCCUGGGAAACUGGGUCUAAUACCGGAUAGGAGCCAUUUUUAGUGUGAUGGUUGGAAAGUUUUUUCGGUGUAGGAUGAGCUCGCGGCCUAUCAGCUUGUUGGUGGGGUAAUGGCCUACCAAGGCGGCGACGGGUAGCCGGCCUGAGAGGGUGGACGGCCACAUUGGGACUGAGAUACGGCCCAGACUCCUACGGGAGGCAGCAGUGGGGAAUAUUGCACAAUGGGCGCAAGCCUGAUGCAGCGACGCCGCGUGGGGGAUGACGGCCUUCGGGUUGUAAACUCCUUUCGCUAGGGACGAAGCUUUUUG